UGGGGAAUAUUGCACAAUGGGCGCAAGCCUGAUGCAGCCAUGCCGCGUGUAUGAAGAAGGCCUUCGGGUUGUAAAGUACUUUCAGUCGGGAGGAAGGUGGUAAGGUUAAUAACCUUAUCAAUUGACGUUACCGACAGAAGAAGCACCGGCUAACUCCGUACCAGCAGCCGCGGUAAUACGGAGGGUGCAAGCGUUAAUCGGAAUUACUGGGCGUAAAGCGCACGCAGGCGGUUGAUUGAGUCAGAUGUGAAAUCCCCGGGCUUAACCCGGGAAUUGCAUCUGAUACUGGUCAGCUAGAGUCUUGUAGAGGGGGGUAGAAUUCCAUGUGUAGCGGUGAAAUGCGUAGAGAUGUGGAGGAAUACCGGUGGCGAAGGCGGCCCCCUGGACGAAGACUGACGCUCAGGUGCGAAAGCGUGGGGAGCAAACAGG
rnacentral:rRNA from 1 species